GACGAACGCUGGCGGCGUGCUUAACACAUGCAAGUCGAACGAAAAUACCAAGCUUGCUUGGUUUGUUAGUGGCGAACGGGUGAGUAACACGUGAGUAACCUGCGCCUUACUUUCCUGGAUAACUGCUCGAAAGGGUAGCUAAUACGGGAUAUUCUGACCAGCCGGCAUGUGGUGGUUUGGAAGGGUUGUUUGUCUGGUAAGGGAUGGGCUCGCGGCCUAUCAGCUUGUGGGUGGGGUGAUGGCCUACCAAGGCGUUGUCGGGUAGCCGGCCUGAGAGUGUGGGCGGUCAGAGGGUGACUGGGCUAAGGGCCAGAGACCUACGGGAGGCAGCAGUGGGGGAUAUUGCACAAGGGGCGAAAGCCUGAUGCAGCGACGCCGCGUGCGGGAUGAAGGCGUGCGGGUUGUAGGCCUCUUUCGUCAAGGAACAAGGCACUGCUGUUUAGGUGGUGUUGAGGGUAACUGGAUAAGAAGCGCCGGCUAACUACGUG
rnacentral:rRNA from 1 species